rnacentral:pre_miRNA from 1 species
AAUAGAUGACGCUGUUGACUUUUUCUCACAUGUUUGACCAUUCGUCUUAUUCAAAAAAUUUACGUAAUUAAGUUGUUUUAUCACUCAUAGUACUUUAAGUGUGAUUUAUAUCUUAUACAUUUGCAUAAAAUUUUUGAAUAAGAUGAAUGAUUAAACAUGUGAGGAAAAGUCAAUGGCGUCAUCUAUU